rnacentral:lncRNA from 10 species
UUCUCCUAAUGAUAUUUACAGCUAAUAUUUAUUUAGCAUAUCCAAGAUCUCAAAUGUUACCUUUAAUCUUCAUUCCAAAUUAUAAUCCAAAGUUGACAAAUGAGAAAAGCUGAGCUAAAUUAAAUUUCUAAAGGGACUUAAAUUAAAUUUCUAGAAUUUACAUUUUCUUUAAAGCAAGAAUCUAACAACUCCUUUUUUAUUUUCGGGGGCUCCUCCGAUCUGCUGCUUUUUUAUUUUUAUUUAUUUAUUUAUUUUUUUGAGGCUUUCCUGUCACUAUGGAAAUAUCAAGGCCCUUUUGGCAGCUGGAAUGCAGACAGAUCCAGCACAACCAAGUCACUUUUCCCACAUGGAGAUUCUGCAGAGUCUUCAGCAGAGACGCAAAUUUGCAGAUUUGGGGCCGCAGUGGAGAAUGGGAUACCAGAGGACCAGGUGACCUAAGCUGUCUCACUUGAAUAAGCAUGUUUGAUCUAUCAAUACCUGAAACAGAGAUACCAGAAGUUUCCAACUUGGAUAGUAGCUUUCAUGACUUAUUUGACCAAUAGAAUGGGCAGAAGUCCCUUCUGAGACAUCCGCACCUAAAUCCUAAGAAGUAUUGCUGCUUCCCUCUGGUCCUCUGGAAAGUACACGCUGUCUAUUCUAAGAACUUCGUACUGUGAUAAAGCCAUAAUGAGUGGUUUUAAGAUGGAGAAACGGAGAUUCCUGAACAGCUUUUACUGUUCUAAACAAACCAGAUCAGGUAUAAGACAUUUGGAGUCUCGCUCUGAUGCCAGGCUGGAGCACAGUGGCAUAUCCAGCUCACUGCAACCUCCACCUCCCAGGUUCAAGCAAUUCUCCUGCCUCAGCUUCCCGAGUAGCUGGGACUACAGGCAUACCCCACCACGCCCAGCUAAUUUUUGUAUUUUUAGUAGAGACGGGUUUCAGGGUUUCACCAUGUUGGCCAGGAUGGUCUCGAUCUCUUGACCUUGUGAUCCGCCCACCUUGGCCUCCCAAAGUGCUGGAAUUACAGGCAUGAGCCACUGUGCUCAGCCAGGCAUACAUAAUUCUUAUAUUUUUUUCCUCUGUAGGUAAGAUCUCCCACAGUGUCUGGCAUCCUUCAAGAUUUUUGUCUUAGAUUUGCUUUCCUGAAAUUUGGAUAUGAUAUGUUUCGGAGUAUAUUUUGGGAAGUAUUUAUUCUGCUCUUUCUUGAGGUACCUGGAUUUAUUAUUAAAAUUAUCAGUCAACAUUACUUCAAUUAUUUCUUCUGUUCCUUUCUUUCUUUAAUUCUCUUUACAGUACUCCUAUAACACCUAUGUUACACCUGUUGCAACUGACCCACAGUUGUUGGAUGCACUUUACUGUAUUGUAUUGCUUUGUUG